GAGCGGCGAACGGGUGAGUAACACGUGAGUAACCUGCCCCAAACUUUGGGAUAACCCUCGGAAACGGGGGCUAAUACCGGAUAUUACUUCGCAUCGCAUGGUGCUUGGUGGAAAGUUUUUCGGUUUGGGAUGGACUCGCGGCCUAUCAGCUUGUUGGUGAGGUAAUGGCUCACCAAGGCGAGGACGGGUAGCCGGCCUGAGAGGGCGACCGGCCACACUGGGACUGAGACACGGCCCAGACUCCUACGGGAGGCAGCAGUGGGGAAUAUUGCACAAUGGGCGGAAGCCUGAUGCAGCGACGCCGCGUGAGGGAUGACGGCCUUCGGGUUGUAAACCUCUUUCAGCAGGGACGAAGCGCAAGUGACGGUACCUGCAGAAGAAGCGCCGGCCAACUACGUGCCAGCAGCCGCGGUAAGACGUAGGGCGCGAGCGUUGUCCGGAUUUAUUGGGCGUAAAGAGCUCGUAGGCGGCUUGUCGCGUCGAAUGUGAAAACUCGGGGCUCAACUCCGAGCUUGCAUUCGAUACGGGCAGGCUAGAGUUCGGUAGGGGAGACUGGAAUUCCU
rnacentral:rRNA from 1 species